AAAAGAAAAAAAUAUCACACACUCUCGUUCCCACCCUACUAAUGGUGGUCGUGGUGUCCACUUGAUCACAAACACAUCCGAACGUGGGCAAUCCAAAGACGAUGAACCCAUUCAUAAAAAUGUAAAGCUAAUUUGUAAUUCCAUAGAGAUGGCCCUUGUAGAAUCCAUACAAAACUCAAUCCAACCGACCAUUUUAUAAUGAUAUGUUCACAAACUUUGGUUGUGCUAUUACUGACCAUGUUUUGCUUCUAUUCUUUCAGGACAGAACGAUACAACAAAAUGUUUUAGAACGCAAGGGGUCAAAAUACUCUGAAUCAGAUUAUACACUCUGAAAUAUAAAUUCAGGCCAUAUACAUUCCGCUUUUGCAGCUAACCUACCAAGUAGUACACUUCUAGGACCAAAAAGUUGAAAGUGGAAUAUCACAACUUAAGUAUUGAACUAACCUCUACUUGAAAGCAUUGCACGCAUUUGUGAAUCCAAGCAUAGUUAUCUGGAGGAAAUAAUUCAGCAAAUACAAUAUGCGUAGAAAAUUCAGAGAUCUCAUGAGGGGUGAAUUGAUGCCCAAUAUAUUGAGAAACAAUACACAUGUUUCAGCAUGUAGUUCGAUUAACUGAAGCAAAUUAUCUACAAAGAAUAGAAAAGGAAAUGAGUACAUAAUCCGGGGACCAAAUUGGUAAACAAUACCACAAUCUUGAAAAGAAACAUCAACAUCAGUAAAUUUUAGAACACCACAACUACACUCUUGUGCCACUUGUGGUUGCACCCCAUGACAUGGCAAGAGAACCACAUAUAGUGGCGAGCAGUUGGCUUUGCUUGACUGAGCAGCGGCAAACAAAACUUGCAGAAUAUUUUGUAAGAAUUUUGGUAAUUUUACUACUCCCUCCGUCCGGAAAUACUUGUCAUCAAAAUGGAUGCAUCUACAACUAAAAUACAUCUAGAUACAUCCAUUUCAAUGACAAGUAUUUUCGGACGGAGGGAGUACAUAACAAUUCUCCUAAUUCCUAACAAAAAAAACAUUACCUCAACUGCAGGAUUUUUUUUGUCUAAAACCUAGACUUGCAAGAGAAACAUCCACAGUUCUACACAAACCAAUGCUGAUAUCAUUUGCAGAAUUUCCUGAGUUCGUUCUUGCUACUUCUUCACAAGGCAGCCAGUCAAUUUGACAAUUUUUUCAGUGCUCAAAUAUUGAAAUAUAUGUUCUUAUAGCGAGUAUGUUCAGAGGACCGUAGAGAAAAACAGGUUUGUAUUAAUUGACUUGUUAAUUGACUCUCUACAGCCCCUCACAAAUUAUACACAAACACAAUCGUCAAAAUCCGGAGCCGACCCUCAAGUAAGCUAGCUAGGUUCUGGGCUUAGUGCUGAAGUGCAUAGUACAGUGCUACAUCACAUUACAGGGAGACGAUGAUACGACAAUCUCAAGAAGAAAGGGAAGGGGGAAUAGCAAGGCUGUUUCUGAGGGUGGUCGAGGCAUCACAUACCUCUGGUGUAGCCACCGUUGGCAAUAUUGGAUGGCUCGACAAACGUUCUGCUACCUCCGGCGAACUCGGUGCUUCCCUAACUAUUUUUCUUGGUUGGCUUGCAUUGCUUGUCUAUACUGUUAGAUCAGCAAGUGACGAAGCUCUAACUGCCAGGAAGGCUAUCCUUCCCUCUGGAAUUCACAACCGAGAUAUAAAUUGUGUGACUGCAUAUUAUGUUAUGAAUAAAAGAGAAAACACAUGAUAUACAAUGUUACAAAAACCGUUUUGGACAAUUCUAACUUGUAGAUAGCUCAAUAUGAUUUUGCUUUGAAAUAAAACUUAAGCAUAAAUACCCAGAAAAAUUAAUGAACAAAGUAGCAGACUAAAAUAUUUACAAUAAGAAGGAUAUAUUUGAUCAUUAAUCCUGCUACAAAACAUAGAUUUUUUUUGUAGCAUCAGGCAAAGAUUCUUAAUGUGAGAAAUUUAAUCUACAGUAACGACCAGCCACUCAGUUCACACAAUUGUACAGUCAUUUUAUUUAGGGAAACAUAUGUGUGGAUACAAAAUAGAUAAAUAAAUGUGUUUAGAAACCUGGAAAAUAAUUAUCCAAACAAACCUAUUUUAUUAUUCUAAUGAUUCAAAAUGAAUGGCGUCAAAGAUACAACAUAUGCUCAUGUACAUCCAGCCACAUCGUCGACCACUAUUUAUUCACCUUGCAACUAAUGUUCAUAUCAACAAAAUGGUUCAUAUUUUCAGUUUCAGAUGAAGGAUAUGGAAGAGAAAAUGAUGCAUGUAACAAGCCUUUAGACGUUUCCGAAAACACAAAACUAUAUGCAAGGUUUUUGAGUCGCCGACUAAUCGCCAAGUUGUUGGAGCGAGGUUGGCUUGCGCAGGCGACUUGGCUUGAGGAGCGAGUCGCGCGACUGGUAGGCUAGUCGACGAUUAGUCGACGACUAGUCGGGUGACUAGGACCUCAUAGCAGGGCGGCUUGCUUCAGCAAGGCCAAGGGAGGGAAGACUGGGAAGGUGAGGAGGCCAGAGUUCGAGGGAGGGGAGGAGGAGACGAAGCUGGAGAGUGCGCCGCCUGUACGAGGAGAAGCACGGAAGAGACGAAGGAGAAAGGCACAUGGGAGCAGAUGCACGGUUCAGAUUAGAGCAUAUGGACGGUUGGGAUUUUUAUCUGGAAGCUAGGGUUACAUAAUGGGCCUAUUGGGCCAGCUCUCUAGCACGAAACAGAGGAGGAGCAAGACACGUGCUCCCAUCCCACAUCAGAAUCGCCGCCUCCAUUGCUCCUACGAGCUGCUGCUGCCUUCUCCGAGCUGAAUUAUACUCCAAGCAGCUGCCUUCCCCCUCCUCCGCCUGCAACAACACCUCUUCCCCCCUCCUCCUCCUCCUCUUCCCCCUCCUCCUCCUCCUCUUAACACCUGGGGCGACUUGGGGCGAUUAAUCACGACGAGUCGCAGACUAAUCGCAGCGAGCCACUAGUCGGAGGCAUGGCGACUCGACUUGGCUAGGCGACUCAAAAACCUUGACUAUAUGUACAAUACUUCUUUGUAUAUAGCUAUGACUGAAAAAUUAAAUGGUCAAUGAGAGGGCAAACAAAUCACAGGAUUUUCUUUUGCAUAUCAUGUCAGUUAGAAAUAAACAAAGAAUUAUAAUCAGAAGAAAUAAAGAAAGCGCAAAAAUUCUCAAGAGCAUAUGACUACAAAACAAUCUAAUCCACUUCCACUAAACUUUUUUUUGGUGCAUUUCCUCAUCAAAAAUUGGCUUUACUAAACGUUGGUGCCACCUAACUACCAUGUCCAUUGAAGGCCCAACUUCAACCAGCUCCAUUCUAGGAAUAUAUGGAUUUUGUAGUUCUCAACUCCUGCUUUAUAAGAUCAUAUAUGUGGUAAUCAUAAGCCCAUCCAAAAGAUUGUUGAGCCUCUUCUUUGAAUGAGAGGCAUACACUCCUACUGCAAACACCAUUAUAACAAAAGAAUAUGACAUCUUUCAGCAGUUAUAGCAGACAAUAAUAUUCGCUGGUUAAUAUACAAAGGAAAAUGAAACGAUCAUUGUAACAGGCACGCAGAAGGCUUCAGAUAGGACCUAUAUUGUGCUACUCAAAGUCAAUAUCUAGCUCAAAAAGUCAAUGCCGAGCUCAGAAAGUCAUUUCAUUUUUGAGAGCCUCACCGAUUUAAUCUUUAUUUUCUCAAGUGAAUAAUAAUUCCUCAUUGUCACUAAGAAUGCAAUAAGAUUUAGGGAGAACUCCAGGGACACCCCUUCUCUCAAAUGGCCUGAUGUUGUUGCUAUUCAUGGUGUAAUUCACAGAAUACUUCAAGGCAAAAAAGUUCUGUCAUCACGAAGUUCAAACUGUACAUUAUUGCCAUGCUCAACCUGGAACAAACAUUAGAGCACUGGUCUAAUGUGGGAGCCUGGGAAAAACACAUAUGUACUAUUUCUAGUUGCUCCACAUAUAUGGUUCGAAAGAAACAAUCUUUUCCAAUAUCAACUAAAUUAAGAUUUACAUGUGGUUAUUUGUACAAACCAUGGACUACUUUAAGAAGCAGCGCAGACAAAAAUUGCAGUUCAGUCUCUAUUAGAAAGGCAAGGUAAGCGUGCAGACCUCAUGCCGAGACGAGCUGAUGUUGUUGGCAGCGAGGAAGGCUCGGCGUCCUCUGACUAUGGAUGCACGCCGACCAGAAUCAUGUAGCCACGGCUCCGACCAGAAUCACCGUGUCUGUCCCGGAUUAGAGAGAGGGAACAACAAAUUACAAGCAUGGUUUUGGUACGGAUUCACAGAAGACCCUAAUCAAACAUCACGACAGCAUACUAUUUGGAAUUCAGAAAUCCAUUCAAGUCAUGCACCCCAAAGGAUGAUCCAUCAGUAUAUAGGAUAAAUCACCCAAGAAUGAUUACCAACUCAAGCAUCAUGUUCUAGAAAAAAUAUUCAGGCACACCAUGGUUUCCAAUUCAGAAGAUGAAGCACAGCAAACAGGCUAUUAAGCCCAAUUCUAAAAAUCAAACAUACCUCUAUUGAAUCUCAGGCUAGCGUAAUCCAUAGCUUUGCCUGGCAAGCCCGCCGGCCGGUCGCCGGAGCUGCCACCGCUAGCGACCGCCUCCCUGACUCUGCGCCCCCUGCUCCUUCUCCUUUAUUCCUUUCUCCCUCAUGCCCUGUCUCUCUUUCUAUGGAUGAGCAGGACGCCGUCGCCACCGGAGCAAGCCACCGCACCAGCAGCCAGAUCGGUCGCUGCCGCCCCCGGAUCCGCCCGUAUUACUCGCGCCGGCGCCGUGGCCUCGCUUCACCCACCGGCCGCCUGCCCGUUCCGACGAACUCCAGCGCCGCCAACCUUUUCCCCUGCGUCGAGGAGUUGCUCGAACCGCUGCCGUCCGUUGCGUGGCCCGGCAGCCCAGCCAGAUCGGCAGCUCGCCCGCGUGGGCUGCGCGGAUGGACGGACAGGAAGACCAUCCGCAGGUGGCGGCGGUGGCGUCCGUACCCCGGCUCUCCUUCGAUGCAUACGUGCCCGUGUGUCAUGUGUUUUUUUCCAACCCUUGCG
rnacentral:lncRNA from 1 species